rnacentral:rRNA from 1 species
AUACGUAGGUGGCAAGCGUUGUCCGGAAUUAUUGGGCGUAAAGCGCGCGCAGGUGGUUCCUUAAGUCUGAUGUGAAAGCCCCCGGCUCAACCGGGGAGGGUCAUUGGAAACUGGGGAACUUGAGUGCAGAAGAGGAUAGUGGAAUUCCAAGUGUAGCGGUGAAAUGCGUAGAGAUUUGGAGGAACACCAGUGGCGAAGGCGACUGUCUGGUCUGUAACUGACACUGAGGCGCGAAAGCGUGGGGAGCAAACAGGAUUAGAUACUCUCGAG